UUUUUUUUUUUUUUUUUUAAUUUAAUAGAUUAUUUAAUAGGCUUACAGUAUUAUUACAAAGAUACAUAUAAAAUUAAUGUUAAAAAUAAGUACAACACCCGUAGGGCUAGAGAAAAUAAAUUAAUUAAACCAAAGAUACAUAAUUACUAUGGGGCAAGAACAUCUCGAUAUCUGGUUCCUAAAGUAUUUAAUAAAAUAGAUUUUUUAAGACAAGAUUUGGGAAUUAGUAUUGGCUCACUUAAGAAAAAACUUAAACAAUAUAUUUUGGAAAGUUAAAAAAAAAAAAAAAAAUGUUAAAAAACCUGUCAUUGUAUUAAAAAAAAAUAUUUCGUUUUCAAAAAUUAUUUUUCAUUUUUCUUAUGUUUUAAGCAUAGUUUGUAGUUGGAUUAAGUUAAGAGAAUGUCAUAUUUUGCUUAUUUACAAUGUCGUUAUGUGUUAAAUAAGAGCGUGUCUCGCCAUCAAACAGCAAAGUUUGGCGAGGACAAUCAAGCUGUAAGACCAUUGUAAUUAUUUUUGAAAUAAAUUAAAUUAAAAAAAAAAAAAAAAA
rnacentral:misc_RNA from 1 species